UACGUAGGGCGCAAGCGUUGUCCGGAAUUAUUGGGCGUAAAGAGCUCGUAGGUGGCUUGUCGCGUCGGGUGUGAAAGCUUGGGGCUUAACUCCAGGUCUGCAUUCGAUACGGGCUGGCUAGAGGUAGGUAGGGGAGAACGGAAUUCCUGGUGUAGCGGUGAAAUGCGUAGAUAUCUGGAGGAACACCGGUGGCGAAGGCGGCAUCCUGGACCAAUUCUGACACUGAGGAGCGAAAGCCAGGGGAGCAAACGGG
rnacentral:rRNA from 1 species